rnacentral:lncRNA from 1 species
GAACAACCAUCGACGACCAGCAUACGUUCAGCCAUCAAUCGACGAACACGUUCAACAUACGUUCAGCCAUCAAUCGACCAGCAUACGUUCAGCCAUCAGCCGCAAUCAAUCGACGAACAAGAACAACCAUCGAAGACCAUCAUACGUUCAGCCAUCAGAUGAUAAAAAUGAUAGUGGUGUUUGAUUGUUUGGAAUUGAAGAUCUUGAGAAAGAAAUGCAUAUGGGAACUUGAAUGUUGA